rnacentral:lncRNA from 1 species
ACUUGAUAACAUCAUAGAAUUCAAAUAACAUUUUUUUUGACUAAUUUUUAUAGAAUAAAUUUUGAUUUAUUAUGAAUAGUAUCAGAGCAUACUCGAUUCACGGAUCAUGUAAAAUAGGGGAUGUGAAUAAUGAUAGCUGGCGUCUCUCGCAUAUUUGCUUCUCUCAUCCAUUGUUUGUUUGCCAAACAUGCUCUUUUUUUUUCCAAGGAGCCAACGGUGAGGUGAACCUCUUAUUCUAUUUCUUGUGUACCUUUGCCUCGUACAUCUCCUCCUAGUUAUAUGUUAGAUUAUUUUCUGUCCCCC